GGGUAUGUAGCUUAAUAGGUAAAGCCAUAAUUUGUCGAGUUAUAAGAUGCGAGUUCAAAUCUCGUCAUACCCG
rnacentral:tRNA from 1 species